GAGCAUUCCAUGCUCGUAACCCUGAGCAACUUCUCCAGCUCCCAACCAUCUUGAUAACCGCAUGUUCCUGGUGCAGUUCUUUGUCCUGGGACACAAGAACCUGGUACUUCAGCCUGUGUCCUUUGUCCCCCAGGGAACUCAGGGCAGGGCCAGGUUUGAGGCUCAUAUCCUAGAAGCCUGCCCCCGAAGACAUUGGAUUCAGGAAGCCCCUUUUUCUUCCUGUGCCACUGUGAUCCUCAACGCAGGUUGAGAAAAGUCACCUUUAUUGUCUUCGGCGAGAGCAAGGUGGGGGAGGGGUGGCCAGAGGGCAGGGGCCAUUCUGAGGUCACAAUUGUCCUCUUGCCCAGCCAAGAAAAGUGGGUCUGCUGACGCUGUCCAUCUCCAAGAGAGAGGGAUUCACUCUGAGGCCUUCAUGUCCCCACCUCUCUAGGUCCCCAGCCCUGGCCACCUCCUUUCUCCAGAGCCCCCCCAUGGCCUGCCCAAAAGUCUAGGGCGAGUCAGGAGGGGACCGCGCUCCUGGCUGGGGCAGGUGUGGAAGGCCGGGGCUCACAUGGAUCUGUCCAUCCUGAUUCUCCUUCUGCUGUUACUGCUGCUGUUACUAGGUCGAUUAAGGCGCGAAUACCGGCUAAGCACCACAGCUCACCCAAAAGGGAGAAAAAGAUACUCAGGAGAUCCAGCCAGCGGCCCACGGUCAUCAACAGAAGGAAGAGGCCACCCAUGCGCACCAGCACCGUCUGGACCUGGCCCUGUAGGCUGAAGCGAUGUUGCCACUGCUCCUCUGUGGGACGCGGUUGUCACUGUCUCAGCCGGCACCUUCUGGAGAUCAGCUGGGGCCAGCCUGUUUCACUUCUCAGCUGCCUUCCCCGGGGAUCUUGUCAGCUUCCCUGACUGCCUUCCCACAGCCCUGCUUCUGUCUCUGGGCACCUACAGGACUUCUUACCCACCCUUAAGUUUCCCCCUGGUUGAGGACAGAGCCCUGCCAGUCGAUGGCAGGAAUCUAAGGUUCUCCCCCUUUCUGCCUGUCAGUUUGAAUCAUCCGCAGCUCAGUUGGCUUCUGCCAGUCUCUCUCUUGUUCCAUCCUGGUCCCAGCCACCUUCCCCUCUUGCCGAAGCUCACUCAUCAAGGCGCCUGAGUUUUGUUCCCGACCAAGCUCUACUGACCAUCUAAAGCGACCUAAACACACCAAUAAGAUGACACCAUCCCUCUGCUUUUAGAGAACUCUAAUGGAAGUCUUGUUUUCCACAGUCAAACUUGACUUGGUCCCGUCUCUCCAUCCUCAUCCGAUCUGUGUUCCCCUUCCUUAGAAAGACAGCAGUCCUGGUUCCUCAUUUCGUACACAGAGACUGCCAAGUCUAUCCCUGCCUCAGGGUCUUCACAGCUACUGUUCUUACCGCUUGGACCACCCUUCCC
rnacentral:lncRNA from 1 species